GACCUACGGGAGGCAGCAGUGGGGAAUAUUGCACAAUGGGGGGAACCCUGAUGCAGCGACGCCGCGUGGGUGAAGGAGUAUUUCGGUAUGUAAAGCCCUAUCAGCAGGGAAGAACAAUGGCGGUACCUGACUAAGAAGCACCGGCUAAAUACGUGCCAGCAGCCGCGGUAAUACGUAUGGGGCAAGCGUUAUCCGGAUUUACUGGGGGGAAAGGGAGCGCAGGCGGCGCGUUAAGCCUGGUGUGAAAGCCCGCGGCCCAACCGCGGGACUGCAUUGGGAAAGGGCGCGCUGGAGGGCCGGGGGGG
rnacentral:rRNA from 1 species